GCGACGGCUUUAGGGGUUCUUCUCGCUUUUUCUUUUUUCCUUUUUUUUUUUUUAAUUCUGAGCUCGCAGUGCUUGGGCUAGGCUGGCGAGAUCUCGCGAGAUGCUGCAGGGCGACUGAGCCGCUUCCCCUCAAGCGCGUGGUACCCGAGGCCCGGCCGCGGCUGCCGGCCGCCGCAGUUCCUACGGUGAUGCUGGGGGCUCUCCUAUGGGGCCCGCGGGCUGGUGCGUGUUCUGCAAUGCCUUCUCGGGGUUCUGGCCGGCCGCCACGUCCCGCUCUGGUGGCCUGAACUUGAGGAGAGGCAGCUUCCCUCCUUGAGGCCUCUUAGUCUAACACUCAGGCAGCCAGGCAGUUAGAUUUGCAUAACUAGAAUCAGUUCCAGUCGUGAUGCAGCGGGUGUGUCCACAUUUCCGACGACUUAACACUUUUAUUUUAAAAGACUGAUAUCUGAAGCUUCUUGGGAAAGUCGGUGAAUCCUGCACGCUGGAUUGAAUGUCUGGAGCUGCAGCAGUGCAGCUGGGCCAAGCCCCUAUGGCUGCAUAACAGGUUGAUGUGUCUUGGCUCAACUGCAGUGCUGGUCCAACAUGCCUCAAGCCCACUGUGCCUCAGGCCUGCACUCCGGUUCGUACAGGUUGUUGCUCUGCUGCUUCACCAAUUCACUCUGAUGCCACUUCUUCACAGGGUCCAUUGGACUGGUGGCGUAGGUUCUCGACCAGGGAGCCAUGUUACCAGGCGUGUUUUACCACUGAGCUACAUACAUUCCAGUCUUUUUAAUUUUUUUUUUUUUUUGAGAUAUAACGUCACUAAGUUGAGGAGAAUGACUUCAAACUUGAGAUCCUCCUGCUUCAACUUCCCUAGUCACUGGGAUUAUAAGUAUGUGUUACCACAACUGGCUGGUCCUUUUCAAUUUUAUUAUCCAAAGAUAGUUUCAUUUUCAGAUCUUUGCUAAUGAAGACAUACCUUUAAAAGUUUAUUAGCCAAACUUAGUGGUGCACACUGUAGUCACAGCUAUUCAAAAGGCUAUCAUGGGAAGAUUGCUUGAGCCCAGGAGUUUGAAGCCAACCUGGGAAACAGAACUUGUCUCAAAAGUUAUUAUUCAUUUAUAUAUCUUUAUUUCUGAAUUGUCUGAUGAUGUUUAUAGUAGACCUUUGCUGUAUCAUGGAAAGCUCACUUGUAUCCUGUCUUGUUUUGGUAAGAAUGUGCAAUUUUCUUUUUUUAGUUAUUGUUUUUUCAAUAGGAUAAAGAAUUACCUCUCUGUAACUUGCCUGUUCCAGCCAGAUUGUGAGCAUGAAAAAAUGAACCAAUCUGGCUCUUUUAAACAUUUUGAAUUUCAGGUGUUAGAAACAAAGUCAGAAAUCAAGUCUGUUUGUUGAGACUGUUAGCUCCUUUUAUCUUGCUGCUUCUAUCACAAAGGAACUGUCUGCCAGGUUGAUGGUAAAUACAAAGGGCCUCCACUCAAUUUGGGACAACUCUAAAGGGCCAUUCCAGCAUAAGCACCUUAUGAGAAUGGAUGAGGCUUUAUUUGUAUCCUGUGCGUCUGCUUUUCCCCCUACCCAGUCCUACUCUUCCUACUUUCCUUAGAGAUAUAUCUCCUGGGAACACUUGCUAGCAAAGUUUCUGUUCAUCAUUGCCUUCCUCAGUCUAUUUCCAAGGUACUGUCUAUUUAUUUUUAGUAACAACAUUCAGAAAAGACUACACAGUUGUCUUGAUACCAGGACCCUCUGAAACUACUUCUCUUAUCUUUUCAGCAUAAGGUUCUUCUUCCUUUUAGCUUUUCCAUAUUCUCCUAGUAAUUCACUGUUUUACUUAAACUUUUGGGUUCUUUGGCUUAUAAUCAAAGAUCAGUGUUAACACAAAAUUCUUUACCAUUUUUCUGGUGUUUUCUUUUUAACCAUUUCUAGGACUAUCUUAUGUAUUACAAACAUAAACCUUACACUGAAAUGGUUUUCUCCAGUUUGUUAGUUGCAUUGUAAGUUUGUUCAUCAUAAUAUUGACAUGCAAUUAUUUAGAAAAUAAACUAGGUAUUUUUCUUUAUGAUUCUUACUUUUCAUAGCAAUGCUUAGAGAGGCUUUUGUUAUCACAAGAUCAUAUAAGUAAAUAUCUAUGUAUUUUAUGCUUUUAUUUUUAUCCCCUAAUUUUUAUGAAAAAAUUAAAAAUUAUGGAAGCCUUCAUUUGUUGUUGUUUUCAAAUCAGUGGGAAGGGGGAACUAGAGAGUAGAAAACAAGCAGCUUAUGUCUCUCUCUUUCCCUCCCUCUCUUUUUCUUUCUCACACACUCACACACUAACAGAUGUGCAAUGACAUUUUAAUCGUAUAUGCCAAAAGUAAGACACUUGGGUAUGCAUACCAGAUUGGGAAAUAUAAUAUUUUGAUUGUUGUUACUGCUGUUAUUUUGGUGUUAAAGAUUGAACCCGGGGCUUUGGACAGAAAAUACAGCUUUCUACCUCACAAUCCUGUGGCCAGCCAUAACCCAUAGAGUUCAGGAAGCCCCCAUGGUCAUAUGAGAACUGCCAGUGGGUAGAAACCUCUAUUUUAAAGGAUUAUAAAAUAUUUUAAAAUGAUAAUUAUGUUGCACAUGGAAUUAAAAAUGUACCUACAUAAGUUAAGGGAAAAUUAAUAGCUAACAUUUUAUAAGAAUUUUCUCCUUACAAAAUUAGGUGUGUGUGUGUGUGGUGUGUGUGUGUGUGUGUGUGUGUGUGUGUGUGUGUGUGUGUGUUUGUGUACCCAAUAAUAAUUCUAAAAUUAUAUUCUACUCCACCAACACUACCAUAUUUGUUAAGGAGAUGAUUUUAAUCCUCUUGAUAGUCUUAUACUUUUAAAAAUCUCUUGUUCUUUCUGUAUAGGCUACAUAAAUAGGAGUAAUGAUGAUAGGAUGUAUAAUAUGAUUGCUUAAGAGCAUUUAUAAUUUAUUAAAUAAAUUUAUCAUGAAAUGUAAUAUCCUUGAAAAAGAAUGACCCUUAUCUAAUUUAGGAAUGAAUGUUAAAGAUCUCAUAAUGAAAUAAGAAUUAGAAAUUCUAUAUUCUUACCUAAAUAUAAGAAUAUGUUCCUGGGACUGGUACUUGAUCUUAAUCCAUGAUCAUUUGGACAGAGUUCCAUAUUUAGUCUCCCUAUACCUAUUUUUGCAUUAUAAAUGCCUAAAUCUUAGAAUUCAUUCUGCAAGCCUAUUAAUGACUCUUUGGAUGAUUCCCUUGGAAUUAUAGAAUAUUUUCUUUGUGAACCAUUCAUAUUGACUUUUUAAUUUUUAUUUUUAUUGUUAUAUACAUAUAUACACUAUAUAUUUACAUAAAUAUGUAUUUAUACUAGGCACAUGCUCUACCACUGGGUUAUUGUCCCCCUGCCCUAUCUGGUAUUAUUUCUUAUGAUAUGUAACAUAUAUACAGAGACAUGUUUAGAACAGAUAUGUACAUUUUGGUGGAAAUUAUAAAGCAAACACCUAUAUAAGUCACCAUCUAGGUCUUGAAACUCGUGAGGACUCCCAAAAGUCCCUACUUUUUCUCUACUCAUGGAAAGUUUAUGAUGGUUGUGCCUUGAUUUUACUGUUCAUCCCAAAACACAGUAAAUAAAUGGAUUCAUAUUGUAUGUUUCUUCUUUUCAGCAUAUGUUUAUGCCAAUAACUCUGGCAUUUGUGUUGUAGUGUAUUUUCAUGAUAUAGCCUUGUAUUUCUAUACCAUAAUUACUGUUAAUCAAUACUUUUAUGGUUUCCAGGUACACUUUGUGUUUAUUUUUAUUUUAUAUUUUUGUAGGGAUGGGUUCAAACCCAGGGCCUUUUACUUUACCACUGAGGUCUCAUCUCCUGUGAGCUUUUGUUUUUGUUGUGAACACUGAUGUGUGAACAUUUUUAUACAAGUGUCAGGGUAAAUAUGUUUCCAUAGGAUAUGUAUUUAGGAAGGAAGGCAUUACUAGUUUUUAAGGCAUGUAUACCCCUUCAAUAGACAGUGACACAUUGUUUUCUUAAGUGAUUGUACCAAGCAUAAUGUUAUCUUUAAGGUUCUCUACCAUGACUUCAAAUAUUUGCUAAAAGUUUCUUGAAAGUAAAACACAAAGUAGUUAUAUUAUGGUAUUGGAUUUUAUUUUAAAAUUAAUUUAAAACUUGCAUCAGGAAAUAAAGGAUGAAAACCCAUUCUUUUUUAA